rnacentral:pre_miRNA from 1 species
CUUGGCACUUGUAGAAUUCACUGAUACUUGAAUAUUUAAUCUCAGUGAAUCUAUAGUGGCAACCG